rnacentral:rRNA from 1 species
GCACAAGCGGUGGAUGAUGUGAUAAUUCGAUGCAACGCGAAAAACCUUACCUACCCUUGACAUGUACGGAACCCUUAAGAGAUUAGGGGGUGCUCGAAAGAGAGCCGUAACACAGGUGCUGCAUGGCUGUCGUCAGCUCGUGUCGUGAGAUGUUGGGUUAAGUCCCGCAACGAGCGCAACCCUUGUCAUUAGUUGCUACAUUCAGUUGGGCACUCUAAUGAGACUGCCGGUGACAAACCGGAGGAAGGUGGGGAUGACGUCAAGUCCUCAUGGCCCUUAUAGGUAGGGCUACACACGUCAUACAAUGGAUGGUACAAAGGGUCGCCAACCCGCGAGGGGGAGCCAAUCCCAUAAAACCAUUCGUAGUCCGGAUCGCAGUCUGCAACUCGACUGCGUGAAGUCGGAAUCGCUAGUAAUCGUGGAUCAGAAUGUCACGGUGAAUACGUUCCCGGGUCUU